GGGGAUGUAGCUCAGUGGUAAAGCACAUGACUAGCAUGUAUGAGGCCCUGGCUUCCAUCCCCA
rnacentral:tRNA from 1 species